CGUCAGCCAAAAAGCAGCGGUUGGUACUGAACCGUCUUCGCUGUUGUGUUACCAGCGGUUACUGCGGCGUUCCUUCAACCGCCGCCCCUGUUUGAAAUCCUGCGACGUUUUCAGUUCUCUCUUAUUCUCUGUCACGAACGCAGAAGCUCUCUUCACCAUCACCAUUGCAUCACCUCAUCACCAUCGUACGACCACAUCACCAACACAAAGUUUGGAAUGUUGCGAGCAGUUAUGGUCAUGCAGGAAUGUGUUAAGAAGUUGGAAGGCGAGAAACUAGUUGCAAGAACGUGUUAAGAAGUUGAAGAAAGACCAUGAAAGUGUUGAACUGGGAAAAAUCACAGCUGAUAUGGUAUUUAUAUUACAUGUUUCUUAGCUAGAGUUUCAAGUUACUAGCAGUAUUAAAUGAUGUCUCACUCUCUUGUCCAUAAGCUUGCUAUGCAUGUAACUUAUUUUUGGAAGUGCACUUCUCUAAUUAAAAGGUACUUGGUGGAAUAAGAGAAAUUAGCCUUAGUGUGGCUAGGCUUAGCUGUUGACCCAGAUGAGUUAAUAUCCCAGUUGACUCAGGCUUUGCUUUUAAUAUAUUUGUGAACUAUCACUAAAAUAAGUGAAUUAUUAUGACGUGCUAAUGACUAUUGAUUAGUUGAUAGAACCUCAUAUGUAGGAUUUUUUUGUUGAUGUUCACUAAUUGGAUCUGAGGUUGGGACAUUUGUAUUUCAGGGAAUUCGCUUUGGGGGCAUGACAAUUCCUGACUGCCAGAAAGCACUUUCAGGUGCUUUUCCUGGCAGGGAGAUUUUGUCCGAGGCCAUACUGUGGCUUCUAUUGGUCGGAAAGGUAUAAUCAAAUUGAAUUUAUUGUAUAUGUUGGCUUACUUGCAACACAAUGUAGCUCAGGGUGUCACUGUGUAUGAAGGUGUUUUGGUACAUGUUCUUGGGAUUUGUUAUAUAAUCCCCGGUUCCUACAUUGUGUCACAAAUACCAAGUAAAGAGCAAGUAGAUUCAUUAGCUCAGGAAUUGCGAAGUCGUGCAAAAAUCCCAGGUAAUUUCUUGAAGAAGAAUAAGUAUACUAAACCAUAGGCAUGAGUUCCAAUAAAUUAUAAGUAGUAGCCAAAAUGAAAAGCAUGCAUAUUGCAGGGACAUUUACGAAAAAGAAGACAUACAUAGUCACCGGAGUGUGCAGCGAUAUCCUUGCUUGGCCGGGAAGGGACAAGGAAGACAUUGGCAAAAAGAGAGCAUAUUUUGGAAUAAAAACAGUAGACAGAUUAAUAGAAUUUGAAUGUGGAAGUAAAGAAGACAAACUCAUGCUGGUUUUCAUUGGAACGGUGUUAUGUUGCCAGUUUCAUUUCUUUUUUCUCCGAAGUACUUACUCUUGUCAUUUUUGUUUUGCGGCUAGACUUAUUUACCCUACAAAUUUAGCAUAACCAUAUACAAUGUAUUCAUCCUGUUAGAGAUGCAUUUAAUUCAUGGCUAAAUCUGGUCCAUGAGAUAUAACACAAAGCAAUUGUUAGCAGGGCACUAACUCCUUUUCUUGUUGUUUCCUCUUUCUCAAUAGUUUUCAACAAUUGUCCUGAUUCAUGCUUUAUCUUUCUGAAUCCAGUCCAUAUUUUUUAAACUCAGACUUGACAAAGACAAUUCUUAUGGUUAAUUACGAACCUAAGGAUGCAAUUGGGACCGAAAUUUUCUGGUUUCUGAAAAAUUGCUUGACACUGAAUGUUUUGAAGGAAAAGCCCAAGAAAAGCUUCUUCAACUUUUUCAAACAUCCAGAAGUCCUUGAAUGUUCUAAAGACAUUGAUGAAGAUGUUAUAUGGCAUGUUAUCUAUAUAAAUUCAAGGCUUAAUUUCCCAAGAAUAGCUUCCUACUAUAGCUUGAACAAAUUAAUUUCUUUUGUAACAGAUUGAGGAACUUCAAUAUCAGCUGAAAUACGACUAUGCCAUUGGGAGGAGGCUGCUCAUGGAAAGGAGUUUAGAUUCCCGGAUUCUUCUGACAAGGAGGUAGAGACAUGACCGGAUAUGCAUGAUGAAUCAUGGAUGAAUCAUGAACGGUCGAAGAAACACUUUCAGCCAAGAAAAAGUCACCGUCUUGUAUCAGUGAACUUGGGGGUAAUAAAGUUCCACUUUAUGGCGCUGGAUCAACCAUAAUGGUGUCGCAAACCGGCAGUGUUGAAGUUGUACUUUAUGCCCUUGUGUUUAAAUUGUAACUUAAAAUUGUAUAAUUUAAAUUUUAUGAGGAUUAUUUUUGCUUGA